rnacentral:misc_RNA from 1 species
AAAAUAUGACAUCUGAUUCAAAAGAUCAUGGUUGUAAUUAUGCUAAAGGUAGAUGGGUCACAGAUGAUAGUCGGCCUUUAUAUUCUGGAUUUCGCUGCAAGCGGUGGUUGUCAGCCAUGUGGGCUUGCCGCUUGACACAGCGUACGGAUUUUGAAUACGAGAAACUACGUUGGAGACCAAGGGAUUGCGAGAUCGAAGAGUUUACAGGUGUUAAAUUCCUGAAAAGGAUGGAGAACAAAACUCUGGCCUUCAUUGGGGAUUCCCUUGGCAGACAACAAUUCCAGUCGCUUAUGUGUAUGAUUACUGGUGGUGAAGACAGACCUGAUGUUCUUGACGUGGGACGUGAAUAUGGUCUUGUAAAGGCUCGUCAUGCUGUACGACCUGAUGGAUGGGCUUAUCGAUUUCCAAGGACCCAAACAACUAU